rnacentral:rRNA from 1 species
GUGGGGAAUAUUGCACAAUGGGCGCAAGCCUGAUGCAGCGACGCCGCGUGGGGGAUGACGGCCUUCGGGUUGUAAACCUCUUUCAGUAGGGACGAAGCGCAAGUGACGGUACCUACAGAAGAAGCACCGGCCAACUACGUGCCAGCAGCCGCGGUAAUACGUAGGGUGCGAGCGUUGUCCGGAAUUACUGGGCGUAAAGAGCUUGUAGGUGGUUUGUCGCGUUGUUCGUGAAAUCUCACGGCUUAACUGUGAGCGUGCGGGCGAUACGGGCAGACUAGAGUACUGCAGGGGAGACUGGAAUUCCUGGUGUAGCGGUGGAAUGCGCAGAUAUCAGGAGGAACACCGGUGGCGAAGGCGGGUCUCUGGGCAGUAACUGACGCUGAGAAGCGAAAGCGUGGGGAGCGAACAGGAUUAGAUACCCCUGUAGUCC